GAGCGCCGGGAGCCUGCAGGGGUGGCAUGGGGGCCGGCAUGGGAGUGUUCGUGGGGGGGGCCGCCUCUGGCUGUGGCCACUGGCCUGGGCGAGACGACCGUGCACACCCGGGCACCGCCGGUGGGGCCGGGGCCGCCUGCACCUGCCCCUGGUGCGGACAGGGAGGCCCUGGGUCCCACGGCGGGGGCGCCCGGCCUGGCCCUCUGGAGAGUCGGGGCCCAGGUUGGGCUCAGGACGAGGCUGUCGCAGGCUCGGGGCGGAUGUCACUUGAAUUAGGGAAAACAGCUCGUGGAACAGAGCCUCGGGCGCCGGGCAGCGGGGCUGCUCCCUUCAUGCGAGGCGGAGACACGGCGACACCUCACCAGGCGCCCGCGGGUGGUCGCGGGGCUCGGGGCUCUGGCCAACACACCCAGUUCAGGUGCAGCCCUGGUUUGGGGAAACCAAGCGCGGCCAGGCCCGUCCAGUUAGGACACCGGAGAGGCAGAGGCGGCCAGAGCACCCAGGGCCCCCCAGGGUCCCGCCUCCAAGGGUAACUGCUCCCCGUAAGUCGUCCUCUGGCUUUAAGAUUUUUUUUUAGCUUCAUAGGCACAGGACCCUACCGUGUGCAUGGUCUGUGCCUUCGGAUGAAGCGCAGGCCCCCCCCCCCCCAUGUCGGCGCCUGUGGCUGGUGCUUCUCGGGGGGGGGGGGGACAGUCCGUGGGGCCAAGCCUGCGCAGCUGUGUCCACCCCGCUGUGCACGGGCACCCGCAUUGUUCCCAGCGGGCCACGGUCACCGAGGAAGCGCUGGGACCCUUCCCGGCCGCGGGGUCCAGGACAGGCGUCCAGGUGGCGCCAGCAGAGGCCGCCGGGCAGGUCCCCGCAGGGUUCAAGCGGUUGGCGGCCCACUCGGCAGAGGCGGCUGCAGGUGCUCCCGCUCCUCAGCGCCACCCGGUACCGAAGGGCUUUGUCCCUGCGGUGACCCUGGAGGGUCACUUGGAACCCGGGCCUCAGACGCCAGCCUGACUUCAGGGCUCCCCUCGGGGGGCGCUGAGGCCACGGCUGGGAGGCAGGCAGGCAAAAUCGCCCCUCGUGGAGCUCCCGCGAGUGAAGACAAGUGAGGGUGUCGCACCCUCUCCUCUCCGUGGGGGCUCCUCCAGCACCGAAGGGCCCAGCCCUGGGGGGUGCUGUGGAAACACCCCACCGGGCCCUCCCCAGCUCAGCUCCAGGGAGACACAAGAGGAGGGAGGAGCAGGCUCCAUGCCGGGAGCCCGACGCGGGACUCGAUCCCAGGACUCCAGGAUCACACCCUGGGGGAAGGCGGGCACCAAACCGCGGAGCCACCCAGGGAUCCCCUUGUUUCCUUCUUUUAAAAAUUUAAUUUAAAUUCAAUUAAUUACCAUAUGAUGCAUCAUUGGUUUCAGAGGUAGAACUUAGGGGUCCGUCAGUUGCACACGCACCUGUGCUCACCCCAUCCCGGGCCUCCCGGUGCCCCUCCCGCAGUCCGCCCGCACCCCUCCCCUCCAGGGACCCUCAGUGUUUCCUAGGGCCCAGAGUCUCUUGUGGUUUGUCUCCUUCUCUGUUUUUCUUAGUUUUCCUUCCCUUCCCCUGUGCUCGUCUGCUUUGUUUCUUAAAUUCCCCGUAUGGGCGAGAUCACAGGAGAAUUGUCUGUCUCUGACUUACUGCCCGCAGCACGAUGGCCUGCAGCUCGGUCCACAUGGCCGCACGCGGUGCCAUCUCCCCCUCCUCCGGCUCCGGGCCCUGCACGCCUCGGCUUCUGCAUCUACUCACCCGCCGCCACCAGAGGUGAGAAGCGGCAUCUCGCUGUGGUUUUGACGACGGAAGGCGGGCAGCACCCUCUCAUGCACCUGCGGGCCGUCUGAAUGCCAUGUUUGGAGAAAUGUCUGUUCAAAUCCUUUGCCCAUUUUUGUCUCUUUAUGGCUGGGCUGGGAGUUCUUCGUAUAUGCUCCAUACUAGUCCCUUACCACAUACAUGAUUUGUAAAUCUUU